rnacentral:rRNA from 1 species
GAUGAACGCUGGCGGCGUGCCUAAUACAUGCAAGUCGAGCGAACAGACGAGGAGCUUGCUCCUCUGACGUUAGCGGCGGACGGGUGAGUAACACGUGGAUAACCUACCUAUAAGACUGGGAUAACUUCGGGAAACCGGAGCUAAUACCGGAUAAUAUAUUGAACCGCAUGGUUCAAUAGUGAAAGACGGUUUUGCUGUCACUUAUAGAUGGAUCCGCGCCGCAUUAGCUAGUUGGUAAGGUAACGGCUUACCAAGGCAACGAUGCGUAGCCGACUUGAGAGGGUGAUCGGCCCCACUGGAACUGAGACACGGUCCAGACUCCUACGGGAGGCAGCAGUAGGGAAUCUUCCGCAAUGGGCGAAAGCCUGACGGAGCAACGCCGCGUGAGUGAUGAAGGUCUUCGGAUCGUAAAACUCUGUUAUUAGGGAAGAACAAAUGUGUAAGUAACUAUGCACGUCUUGACGGUACCUAAUCAGAAAGCCACGGCUAACUACGUG